rnacentral:lncRNA from 1 species
UCCAGGAUGUGAGCAGGUGCGUGUCAGGACAAGGACCAGAUACACACUUCAAGUAUGAGACACCAACAGCUGGGGGCGCCUGCCCCCCGGGACUGUGGGCUGUGGAGAGCACAACGCGGCACAGCAGUCGGGUGGGAAGACCUGUCUCUUGCCUCCCGGCCGAGCCCAGCUGGGAUCCUGCAUUUCAAACAGCAGCACCUACAUAUGCUGGGCCCAUCUGCUGCAGGGUGGAAACCCACAGGCAGAACCCACGCCCAAAUCACGUCCAUGAAGCUCACCCGGGACCAGAGGAUAUCAGGCUUGGGUGCCUCAAGAACCCUCAGAUUCAGGAACAAGGGGACAGACUUGGGUCUACAGAGACAGACGGGAAUAAACGGAGAAACCAGCCUCUCAGUGAGCACCACCUGUCACCACCUCUGCCACCGUUUCUUCUUUUACUUCUAAACUUGCAGGACUGCGUCACCUGCCCGUGUGUGGGAAAAGGCCACUGAAGAACACGAUCAAGUUUACCGAGGCUCCAACACAGCCCAAACCAGAGAGCGGACGAGGAAGAGAGCCUGCACAGACACCCCGCUCUGCGGGAGCACCUGC